GGAAAACCCAGUAGUACUUAAAACAUACAAAUGAAUUAUACUAUUAGAUAAAAAAUUAAAUGUUCUAUUUUUAUGAAGAUAAAUGCUUAGUAGAUAAAAGCAGAUUUUAAGUUUAAUUAUCAGACUCAUAGAACUUCAAGUUUGGAAGGGACCCUUUUUAAUGUUGGCUGGUUUCAUUCAAACUGCGUGUAUUUUUUUCACUUAUAAGUUAUUACAUCUCUGGUGUUAAAAUUUCCUCACUAAAACAUAAAUUAAUAGAAUUAUAUUAAGAUACAUUACCAAUUAUUUAAAUGCAUUGGCUUUAUUAAGACACCUCUCUAAAAACAGGUCUCUCUACCUGACAUCAAUUACUUAAUCUUGAAUUUGGAUGGCAUUUUCAUAACAAAACCAAACAGUAUCCUUACUUUGAAAAUUAUCAAUUAUGAUUGACCAAAGAUUCUUUAAAAUGUCUUAAGCUUUGAGAAAACUGAUAGUUCUCUGUUAAACAAAUUUUCUACAUUUAUUUCUUAGAAAUAUUUCCAAAAUAUUUGUUUUUCAUUUUUUGAUGAAAAGUCAAACCUUCUGGAAAGCAAGAUAUUUGUUCUUAAAUUGUGUAUCUAUCUCUCAAAGCCCAUGUAGUUUUUUAAUUUGA
rnacentral:lncRNA from 1 species